AUUGAACGCUGGCGGCAUGGCUAAAACAUGCAAGUCGAACGAGGUUUUUCUUCGGAUAAGACCUAGUGGCGAAAGGGCGAGUAAUACAUUUCUGACGUACCCCGAGGUUCGGGAUAGCCCAGGGAAACCUGGAGUAAUACCGGAUGCGGUCAACGGGUCCAGAAGCCGUUGAUCAAAGGAGCAAUCCGACUUGGGAGCGGGAAAUGUCCUAUCAGGUAGUUGGCGGGGUAACGGCCCACCAAGCCGAAGACGGGUAGCGGGUGUGAGAGCACGGCCCGCCGCAUCGGGACUGAGACACUGCCCGGACUCCUACGGGAGGCUGCAGUAACGAAUAUUCCACAAUGCGCGAAAGCGUGAUGGAGCAAUGCCGCGUGCAGGAUGAAGGCCUUCGGGUUGUAAACUGCUGUCAGGGUUUAGGAACAUAAUGACCAGACCCAAAGGAAGAGACGG
rnacentral:rRNA from 1 species